UACGUAGGGCGCAAGCGUUGUCCGGAAUUAUUGGGCGUAAAGAGCUCGUAGGCGGCCAGUUGCGUCCGCUGUGAAAUCCCAGGGCUUAACCCUGGGCGUGCAGUGGAUACGGGCUGGCUGGAGGCAGGCAGGGGAGAACGGAAUUCCCGGUGUAGCGGUGAAAUGCGCAGAUAUCAGGAGGAACACCAGCGGCGAAGGCGGCGCUCUGGGCCGGAACUGACGCUGAGGAGCGAAAGCGUGGGUAGCAAACAGG
rnacentral:rRNA from 1 species